rnacentral:rRNA from 1 species
GAUGAACGCUGGCGGCGUGCCUAAUACAUGCAAGUCGAGCGGUAAGGCUUUACACAGUUUGUUUAAACGGCAAAGACAGGUCGCGAUUACGAAGUAAUCGCAUCUAAAAACGAAGAAUAAACACUUCGGUAGCGAUGAUAUUUUUCGCAUAGCGAAAGUAACAUCGGGUCUAAACCACUCUUUAUCUGGCUAGAUAAACGAGUUUGAACAAAGUGUGUAGAGUACACGAGCGGCGGACGGCUGAGUAAUGCAUUGGAACGUACCCCAAACUGAGGGAUAAUCCACCGAAAGGUGGACUAAUACCGCAUGUGCCAUUCGUGGUAAAGCUACGGCGGUUUGGGAGCGGCCAAUGUUCGAUUAGCUAGUUGGUGAGGUAAUAGCUCACCAAGGCUACGAUCGAUAGCGGGUCUGAGAGGAUGAUCCGCCAGACUGGAACUGAGACACGGUCCAGACUCCUACGGGAGGCAGCAGUAGGGAAUUUUCCACAAUGGGGGCAACCCUGAUGGAGCAACGCCGCGUGCAGGAUGAAGGCCCUCGGGUCGUAAACUGCUUUUCUCUGUGAUGAUUAUGACAGUAGCAGAGGAAUAAGGAUCGGCUAACUCCGUGCCAGCAGCCGCGGUCAUACGGAGGAUCCAAGCGUUAUCCGGAUUUACUGGGCGUAAAGAGUUGCGUAGGCGGUUUACCAAGCAAGGCAUGAAAUAGUGUGGCUCAACCAUACUGCUAUGUUUUGAACUGGUAGACUAGAGGAUGAGAGAGGUUAUUGGAAUUCCAAGUGUAGGAGUGAAAUCCGUAGAUAUUUGGAGGAACACCGAUGGCGUAGGCAGAUAACUGGCUCAUUCCUGACGCUCAGGCACGAAAGCGUGGGUAGCAAACGGGAUUAGAUACCCCGGUAGUCCACGCCGUAAACUAUGGAUGCUAGCUGUACACCGUAUCGACCCGGUGUGUAGCGAAGCUAACGCGUUAAGCAUCCCGCCUGUGGAGUACGAGCGCAAGCUUAAAACAUAAAGGAAUUGACGGGGACCCGCACAAGCGGUGGAGCGUGUUGUUUAAUUCGAUGGUAAGCGAAGAACCUUACCAAGGCUUGAAAUCCUGAGAAGCACUGCGAAAGCAGAGUGUGCCUUCGGGAACUCAGUGACAGGUGUUGCAUGGCCGUCGUCAGCUCGUGUCGUGAGAUGUUGGGUUAAGUCCCGCAACGAGCGCAACCCCUAUGUUUAGUUGAAUUUUUCUAAACAGACUGCCCUGGUAACAGGGAGGAAGGAGGGGAUGAUGUCAGGUCAGUAUUACCCUUACGCCUUGGGCUACAAACACGCUACAAUGGCCAGUACAAAGGGUAGCCAAGUCGCGAGACGGAGCAAAUCCCAUCAAAACUGGUCUCAGUUCGGAUAGCAGGCUGAAACUCGCCUGCUUGAAGCUGGAAUCGCUAGUAAUGGUAAGUCAGCACAUUACCGUGAAUACGUUCCCGGGUCUUGUACACACCGCCCGUCAAACCAUGAAAGUGGCCAACACCCGAAGUCCGAUUUAUCGGCCUAAGGUGGGGGACAUGAUUGGGGUU